rnacentral:rRNA from 1 species
GAUGAACGCUGGCGGCGUGCCUAAUACAUGCAAGUCGAGCGAACAGACGAGGAGCUUGCUCCUCUGACGUUAGCGGCGGACGGGUGAGUAACACGUGGAUAACCUACCUAUAAGACUGGGAUAACUUCGGGAAACCGGAGCUAAUACCGGAUAAUAUAUUGAACCGCAUGGUUCAAUAGUGAAAGACGGUUUUGCUGUCACUUAUAGAUGGAUCCGCGCCGCAGUAGCUAGUUGGUAAGGUAACGGCUUACCAAGGCAACGAUGCGUAGCCGACCUGAGAGGGUGAUCGGCCACACGGGAACGGAGACACGGUCCAGACUCCUACGGGAGGACGCAGUAGGGAAUCUUCCGCAAUGGGCGAGAGCUUGACGGAGCAACGCCGCGUGAGUGAUGAAGGUCUUCGGAUCGUAAAACUCUGUUAUUAGUGAAGAACAAAUGUGUAAGUAACUAUGCACGUCUUGACGGUACCUAAUCAGAAAGCCACGGCUAACUACGUG